UACAAAAAGAGAUUUAGAAGCAGCAAAAUAUAAACCAUCCUCUAUAUUGUCACCUAGACUGUCAGCCACUAAGGAAAAGCCUGCCUGAAGAGAAAGGUCUUCGCCUGCUUGUGGAAGGACAGCAAAGAUGGGGCCAGGCUGGCCUCUGGUGGGAGGGAGUUCCAGAGUCUGGGAGCAGCAACGGAGAAUCACCUGGAGCUCAGGACAGUACAGGAAAGCUCUCUAGCAGAGAAUUCUGAGUGACUCAUCAAACUACAAAUUCCAGAAUUCCUUAGGUUAUAGCUUUAGCUGUUAAACUAGUAUCAAACUAAUACAACUGUGGAGUGUGGAAACACUCCAAUGAAAGAAAAGAAAAGUAUCAGAUCAUUUUUAAGAUUCUCCCCUGAAUGUAACUCUCUCUUCUUGCCCACCCGCCCCCAGGCAGUUUGAUGGGGUUGUUUUUUAACAGUCACAAAGACAUCAUCAAGCAAUCCAGUUUUUACCUUGCAGUCUGAUUUGAAACCAUAAUCUUCAGAAGAGGGGGGGGGGAAAUCAUCUCAAAGCUUGGGCAGGUUGUGACUCAUCCAUCAGCUCUUUUUAAAGGCAGGGCUUCCUCAGAUGCUCAGAGGAUAGGAAAUGUCUCCCAAGCAAAAAACUGCUGGCUGCUUUUACAGCGGCAGGUGGCUGACUUUCUGGCUGGUUCUAAGCAUUGUGCAAGGGAAAGAUUCACAUCUUUCCGCUCGUGAAGGAAACGGAGACGUCAGUGUCAAGGUUACCAAGGCAGAGGAUGGAUUAACUGACAAUAUCAAGUUUCCUAGUGAAUGCAACUCCAGAAAAUUGACCAAGAGAUCCAGUUCAUUUGGCAUAUUGCGGUCCAGAGGCCUGGCGAAUCAAGAAACUGACUGUCAGAUUUUCCCAGUAACAACUUCACCACCACUGACAACUAAACCACGAAUCACCACCCAAAAUCCCAGGAAGCAAACUCAUCACAUUAGACCAGCAGUGCCGAGAUGUAGACCAUGGUUUGUGCCUUAUUACCGGUGCAAACCACCACGGACCUUCUUUAAUGCUCUAUUGCCUUGUAACAGAGGUGCCUUUGGUCACAACACCAUUUGUAAUGACAAAUCCCAGAGUGAUGAAUCCUCUGAAGAAAAGAGAGGGAAAAGACACCGACUUCCAAUAGUCCAGAGAAGGAGCAAGACAUCCAUGGAGGAUUGACCUAACUAUCUUAGAGAUCUUCCAAAUACAUUUGUUUCACUUUAUCUGCUGGUUUCUGCACUGAUCUUUCCAGAAAUUUGCAUAGCAACCAAAUGAUGUUCCUCUUCCCUUUUUUCUAUAAUUCCCAACCCCUGGUAUAUUUUUCUUUCAUGCUGCCUUGUACUGCAGAGGUGGUGGGUAGACUUCAGAGCUACAUUGCUUCCCAGAUACUUUAUCACCGAUGCACUACGAGAACCGGCUAAUCAAGAAAGCACAUGGAAGAAGUCUGCUGGACACUGGGAAACGCGAGCCAUACUGCUGCUUCAUAAAGUUCUGGAUGGAGGCGCAGUCUGCAGAGAACUCUACACCCAUAGCAGCCAUGUUAGUAAUACUGCUGUAGCACUUUAAUGUUAAUAUAGUUAACAGUUAUACAUGACCCCUUGUAAAUCCUGCUACAGUAUCUCCCAUAAACAAGUGGCUAAAAAGCAGCAAAGAAAAGGGGAACAAAUACUGCAUCUAAAAGCACCUGCCAUGCCUCUUUCCCCCAUGAUCCAAGGAGAGCAGAAAAUAGAUCUGGAGCUACUGGUAGAUCUCUGAGUCAUUUGCAAUAGACCUAUGGUUUAGCACUCCCAAUUAUGUUAUAGCAGCAGCAGCAACAACAAAAAUGAUUUCGUACUCUAGCCUGUAUUAUACCACUGAAAUUAUGAAGUCUUGGGGUGACUAAGCAUGGUUUUGGUGUGGACUGUGACCUCUGUUCAGUUAUGGGUUGGAAUCAGACUUCUUUCAUGUUAAGUGCAAUCUCUUGCAACUGGAUCCCUUUGGUGGAUGAUGAAAUUCUAAUAGAAAAUGGAAUAGAUCUCGAAGAUGUGAAGUCUUCUCAUAUGAAACUUGAACACAAGAAAUACAAAGCCCAGACCUUUGCCUUUAGAAAGUAAUUGGACAGCUGCAAACCUGCAGGCAAGCUUGCUCACUUUAUAAACCUGAAAGUAACAUGUUAGUUGGUCUUAAUUUGGCAUAUUUGUUAGUGCCAGGCAAGCCUCUCCUGGAGGGAAUAUCCACAGAUCACCUCAGUGCACAGGCAUGUUGGUGUGGCAGCAGCACAGAAUGUUAAAAGCAUACAUCACCACUUUGACAUGUGCUUGGAAAAUGACCAAACACCAAUUAAAUUAUUUCAGUAGCGGUGAGAAAUGCUUCCACUGACUAGUGACAGUCAACAGCCUUGCUGCUGUUAUCUGAGAGGUUACUACAGUUUCUAAACUCGGUUCAAAAGCAACCCUGUUCACCAAGUGGAAGAGACAUUGCCAUCCUUUACAUGCCUACUGAAAAGUCAGUUCCAUUGUGUUCAAAGUGGCAUGCAGGAACAUAUAUAUUUCCCCUCACAUUCUCCGUGUGUUUAAGAUUACAGUCCCCAUUAUCUCCAGCCAAUUGUGGUCCAAUAUACCUGGAAAGGUACCAGGCUGGGGAAGGAUAGUGGGUUCUGGACUAGAGCCUUAAUUCACCAGUGCUGCUGAUGCACGUCUAGCUUUUAAAAUUCUUUCAUUCCUCUGAUGUGGUUUUGUAAAAGGUUUGAAGUUUUUAAAAUGGAUUGUCGAUUCCAGAGGUCUUGAGUAGUAGGUUGCAGAGGGUAUUAAAACAAUAUUUUGAUGUAUAACUCCCAAUGUUUGUGAGAUUCCCCUGUGAACGUUGCAGUUUCUUCUCUUAUUCAGCUAGCAGUGUUUCAAUAAACUUGAUUAUGUUAAAAUAUAUCUUGGUCA
ensembl:lncRNA